CUACGGGUGGCUGCAGUGAGGAAUAUUGCACAAUGGGGGGAACCCUGAUGCAGCAACGCCGCGUGGAGGAUGACGCAUUUCGGUGUGUAAACUCCUUUUAUAUGUCAAGAAAAUGACGGUAGCAUAUGAAUAAGCACCGGCUAACUCCGUGCCAGCAGCCGCGGUAAUGCGGAGGGUGCAAGCGUUACUCGGAAUCACUGGGCGUAAAGGACGCGUAGGCUGGUUGGUAAGUCAGGUGUGAAAUCCUACAGCUUAACUGUAGAACUGCACUUGAAACUACCAACCUAGAGUAUGGGAGGGGGAGAUGGAAUUAGUGGUGUAGGGGUAAAAUCCGUAGAUAUCACUAGGAAUACCGAAAGCGAAGGCGAUCUCCUGGAACAUAACUGACGCUAAGGCGUGAAAGCGUGGGGAGCAAACAGGAUUAGAUACCCGCGUAGUC
rnacentral:rRNA from 1 species